UUUAUUAACCAACUAAGUACAUUAUUGCCAAAAAUGACUAUUUAUUAAAAAAUUACAUAUUUUCUGUAAUGGCCCUGUUUUUCUGUAAUGGCCCUGUUUUUUCUGUAAUGGCCCUGUUUUUCUGUAAUGGCCCUGUAUUAAUGCCCAGUUUGUCUGUAUUAAGCCAGAGACAUAUAUACACAUGUGUAUAUAUGUCUCUGAUUAAGCCCAGUUAGGUUUUUUUUUGAUAAAGUUAAUAAAAUUAAGUUGUAAAGAGUAUAAUACCUUUUUGUAUUUUAUUUUAUUUAGUAACCAGCAAC
rnacentral:lncRNA from 1 species